rnacentral:rRNA from 1 species
GAUGAACGCUGGCGGCGUGCUUAACACAUGCAAGUCGAACGAUAAAGCCCAGCUUGCUGGGGGGAUUAGUGGCGAACGGGUGAGUAACACGUGAGUAACCUGCCCCUGGCUCUGGGAUAAGCGCUGGAAACGGCGUCUAAUACCGGAUACGAGCUUCCACCGCAUUGGGAGGUGCUGGAAAGAAUUGUGGUCGAGGGUGGACUCGCGGGCUAUGCGGUAGUUGGUGGGGUAACGGCUCACCAAACCGAUGACGGGCAGGCGGGCUGGGGGGGGGGGCGGGCACAUUGGGAAUGAGAAACGGGCCAGAGCGCGACGGGGGGCAGCAGUGGGGAAUAUUGCACAAUGGGCGGAAGCCUGAUGCAGCAACGCCGCGUGCGGGAUGAAGGCCUUCGGGUUGUAAACCGCUUUCGCCUGUGACGAAGCGUGAGUGACGGUAAUGGGUAAAGAAGCACCGGCUAACUACGUG